GAAAAUCCACGGCUUAAAAAGAAAGUAUGUAUUUAUUAUUUAUUUAAUAUUGAGGAAAUUGACUGUCAUAUGGUUGUAUAUUUAUUUAGUCAUUUCUGUGUGUCCUGUGAUGGCUGAGUCUUAGUAGUCUUAAAAUCCAUUGCUAAUAUUUAAAUAAAGAAAAAAAACAUGGCUAGAAAGAAAAUCAUAGAAUAUUGUUUGAUUUGCUUUCAUAGAUAUACCAGCAGUUAUUCCUAAGCAGAAUAACCAACAAAAGCAGUCACUGUUCUGUUGGUAUCAGAUUGUCUUUGUGCCAGCAAGGAGUUGUUUGCGUUUUGUCAGGAAAAAUAAGACCAAGAAAAUAGAAGGAUAAAAUGUUUCUUCCCCGAGCGCUUUGUAGUGGCCAACACUGGCUAACCCAAAACAUCUUUAAUGUACCAGAGAUGUUUUAAUGCCUUUUGAUCAAAUAUUUUUUCUCUGUUUAUUCUUUUCUCUAAAUGUCUUGGGCAGAAGCUCCAUAGAGCUCUUUUCCAGUGUGUUCUAGAGCUCUGUUCAAGUGUGUUCUAGAGCUCUGUUCCAGUGUGUUCUAGAGCUCUGUUCCAGUGUGUUCUAGAGCUCUGUUCCAGUGUGUUCUAGAGCUCUGUUCCAGUGUGUUCUAGAGCUCUGUUCCAGUGUGUUCUAGAGCUCUGUUCCAGUGUGUUCUAGAGCUCUGUUCCAGUGUGUUCUAGACUAGAUGUCUGGGUCUAAAACACUUUAAGGAAAAACUAAACCAUCAAGGAGAAUGACAACUAAUAUCAGAUCCACUACGCCCAUGUAGCCUUAUUUUAGAUUUCAUUUGUUGAUGCACAAAGUGCCACAAACCCCUCACUUUCUUUCCUGAUUCUUUGCAUUCUGCAAUGUACAAUGUCUAGUCACGUGACAUGACCAGGGCGUCAGACCGAGAGUUGGGUUGUUUCAGAUGCCUUUGUUUCUUUGCCAAGAUGGCCAUAAGUACACUGUAUAUACAUUCUGUAUAAAUAGAAAUUUAAAAGCUAUAUGAAUAGAAACAUGCAUAUAUUUUUCCAGUGUAAUUGUUGCCUCUUUUCCUCUUCUGUUAGCUUAUCAGAGGAACUACACCUGUCUGAGAGUUGUGACGAAUAGAGGCGGAUAUGACUGUGGCUUUUUAGGUUUCCUUUUCUAUGGAUUUCUCUCUAUCUUUGAUCCAGACAUGGUGAAAAUGCUAACGCAUGUUGUAGUGAAUCUGAAAUGCUAACGCAUGUUGUAGUGAAUCUGAAAUGCUAAUGUAUGUUGUAGUGAAUCUGAAAUGUCUGUAAUCUUAACUAAAUGGUUGGCUCUUCGUUCAAGUGUCCUGUGAGUGAGUUCAUGCAUAGAGGCCUCUUUGGUCACAUUGGCGCUAUAUUGUGCAGUACUGUGUCGUUGUGAUAAGAUUAUGAUAAGGUCAGCUCUCAAACACAGAUCACAACGUUAAAGAGCCAAUAGGGAAAGUGUAGUACUUGCUCUGAGUGAUCUGUUGCAACUAGGAGGAGACCCUGUGAAAAUAUGAUGAGGUAACCUAGUGGGAGACCCUGUGGUAAUAUAAUGAGGUAGCCUAGUGGGAGACCCUGUGAUAAUAUAAUGAGGUAGCCUAAUGGGAGACCCUGUGAUAAUAUGAUGAGGUAGCCUAG
ensembl:lncRNA